GUCACAGUCGGGGGCAUUCGUAUUUCAUAGUCAGAGUUGAAAUUCUUUGAUUUAUGAAAGACGAACAACUGCGAAAGCAUUUGCCAAGGAUGUUUUCAUU
rnacentral:ncRNA from 1 species